GUGCUUGCUACGGCUGCACAUAUACUAAAAUUGGAUCGAUACAGAGAAGAUUAGCAUGGCCCCUGCAAAAUGAUGACAUGCAAUCCGGAAGCGUUCCAUAUUUUG
ensembl:snRNA U6 U6 spliceosomal RNA